AACGAACGCUGGCGGCAUGCCUAACACAUGCAAGUCGAACGAGACCUUCGGGUCUUGUGGCGCACGGGUGCGUAACGCGUGGGAACCUGCCCUUAGGUUCGGAAUAACUCCCCGAAAGGGGUGCUAAUACCGGAUAAUGUCUUCGGACCAAAGAUUUAUCGCCUUUGGAUGGGCCCGCGUUGGAUUAGCUAGUUGGUAGGGUAAAAGCCUACCAAGGCGACGAUCCAUAGCUGGUCUGAGAGGAUGAUCAGACACACUGGGACUGAGACACGGCCCAGACUGCGACGGGAGGGAGCAGUGGGGAAUAUAGGAGAAUGGGCGAAAGCAUGAUCAAGCAAUGCCGCGUGAGUGAUGAAGGCCUUAGGGUUGUAAAGCUCUUUUAGCCGGGAUGAUAAUGACAGUACCGGGAGAAUAAGCUCCGGCUAACUCCGUG
rnacentral:rRNA from 1 species